CUCACUCUGUAGAUUAGGCUGGCC
rnacentral:piRNA from 2 species